AACGAACGCUGGCGGCAUGCCUAACACAUGCAAGUCGAACGAGACCUUCGGGUCUAGUGGCGCACGGGUGCGUAACGCGUGGGAACCUGCCCUUAGGUUCGGAAUAACUCCCCGAAAGGGGUGCUAAUACCGGAUAAUGUCUUCUGACCAAAGAUUUAUCGCCUUUGGAUGGGCCCGCGUUGGAUUAGUUAGUUGGUAGGGUAAAAGCCUACCAAGGCAACGAUCCAUAGCUGGUCUGAGAGGAUGAUCAGCCACACUGGGACAGAGACACGGCCCAGACACCGAGGAGAGGCGGAAGUAGGGAAGCGGCCGCAAGGGGCGAAAGGCGGACGGAGAAAAGCCGCGGGAGGUAUUAAGGUCUUAGGCUCGGAAAACUCGGUGAGGAGUGAAGAACAAAAGGGUAAGUAACUAUGCACGUCUUGACGGUACCUAAUCAGAAAGCCACGGCUAACUACGUG
rnacentral:rRNA from 1 species